rnacentral:rRNA from 1 species
UCAAGCUGUUAAGAGCACAGGGUGAAUGCCUUGGCAUUAGGUGCCGAUGAAGGACGUGACAAGCUGCGAAAAGCUGCGGGGAGGAGCAAAUAUCCAUUGAUCCGCAGAUGUCCGAAUGGGGAAACCCGGCUGUGGUCAUGCACAGUCAGCGUUAUGUGAAUACAUAGCAUAACGCGGGAAAACCCGCUGAACUGAAACAUCUAAGUAGGCGGAGGAAGAGAAAGAAAAAUCGAUUUUCAAAGUAGCGGCGAGCGAAAUGGAAAGAGGCCAAACCUAAGAUAGCAAUAUCAUAGGGGUUGAGGACUGAAUAAUCCAUUGUGAGUUUCUAGAAGAAUUGGUUGGGAAGCCAAACCAAAGAGGGUGAUAGUCCCGUAAUCGAAAGAGAUGAGCAGGAGUCAGUAUCCAGAGUACCGGCGGACACGAGGAAUCUGCCGGGAAGCCGGGGGGACCACCCCCCAAGCCUAAAUACAACCUAAUGACCGAUAGUGAAGCAGUACUGUGAAGGAAAGGUGAAAAGAACCCCGGGAGGGGAGUGAAAGAGAACCUGAAACCUUGUGUUUACAAGCAGAUAAAGCACAAUAUUAGUGCGAUAUCGUACUUUUUGUAGAACGGUCCGGCGAGUAUAUGUACGCAGCGAGGUUAAGAUAUUAAGUAUCGGAGCCGCAGGGAAACCGAGUGUUAACAGCGCGAAUAAAGUUGUGUGUAUAUGACCCGAAACCGGGUGAUCUAUCCAUGGACAGGAUGAAGCGGAAGUAAAAUUCCGUGGAGGUCCGAACUCACUGCUGUUGAAAAAGUAGGAGAUGAGCUGUGGAUAGCGGAGAAAUUCUAAUCGAACCCGGAGAUAGCUGGUUCUCCCCGAAAUAGCUUUAGGGCUAGCCUUAUAUUAGUUUAGCGGAGGUAAAGCACUGAAUGAGCUAGGGGCCGUAUUGGUUACCGAACUCUAUCAAACUAAGAAUGCCGCAUAAAUGAUGUAUAGGAGUCAGACUGCGUGAGAUAAGUUUCGUGGUCAAAAGGGAAACAGCCCAGACCUACAGCUAAGGUCCCAAAAUGGAUUUAAGUGGAAAAGGAUGUUCAGAUGCUAAAACAACCAGGAUGUUGGCUUAGAAGCAGCCACACAUUCAAAGAGUGCGUAAUAGCUCACUGGUCGAGUGACUGGGCGCCGAAAAUUUAACGGGGCUAAAAUUCAUACCGAAGCUUGGGCAAUGUGCACACAAUUUAAUUAUUAUCAGAAAAAUUGUGCACUAUGACAAUGAGCGAAGCGAAUUGUCAUCAAAUUGUCCCUAUGGAUAAAGUUCAUUUAUCUGUUAGGAUAAGAGAUUAUCUGAAAGGAUAAGAUUUAUCCGAAAGGGUGAUAAUGGUUAAAUUGUGUGCAUAUUGGGUAGGGGAGCGUUGUGUAGUAGGACGAAGGAAGACCGGAAGGACUUCCGGACGAGGCACAAGUGAGAAUGCCGGAAUAAGUAGCGAGAAUUAUGUGAGAAUCAUAAUGGUCGAAAAUCUAAGGUUUCUUGGGGAAGGUUCGUCCGCCCAAGGUAAGUCGGGAGCUAAGGCGAGGCCGAAAGGCGUAGUCGAUGCACAUACGGCAGAUAUUCCGUAACCGCCGAAAUUGUUAAGCACAGGGACGCAGGAAGAUAGCCUGACCCGGGCGUUGGUUGACCCGGGCGAAAGGGAGCGAAAAUUAGUAGCGAAGCAGGUGAUUCUACACUGACGAGAAAAGCUGUGUGAAUUGAUUAGGUGCCCGUACCGCAAACCGACACAGGUAGAUGAGGAGAGAAUCCUAAGACCAACGGGAGAAGCAUUGUUAAGGAACUCGGCAAAAUGACCCCGUAACUUCGGGAGAAGGGGUGCCUGCAUAAAGCAGGCCGCAGAGAAUAGUCCCAAGCGACUGUUUAGCAAAAACACAGGUCUAUGCUAAGUCGAAAGACGACGUAUAUGGGCUGACGCCUGCCCGGUGCCGGAAGGUUAAGGGGAACGGUUAGACUUCGAGUCGAAGCUGUGAACUUAAGCCCCGGUAAACGGCGGCCGUAACUAUAACGGUCCUAAGGUAGCGAAAUUCCUUGUCAGGUAAGUUCUGACCCGCACGAAUGGCGUAACGAUUUGGGAGCUGUCUCAACAAUGUGCCCGGCGAAAUUGUAGUACCGGUGAAGAUGCCGGUUACCUGCGACAAGACGGAAAGACCCCAUGGAGCUUUACUGUAGCUUGAUAUUGGAUUUCGGUAUAUGAUGUACAGGAUAGGUGGGAGGCAAAGAAGCAAUCACGCCAGUGGUUGCGGAGCCGAUGUUGGGAUACCACCCUUCGUAUGCUGAAAUUCUAACCGGACACCGUAAGCCGGUGACGGGACACUGUCAGGCGGGCAGUUUGACUGGGGCGGUCGCCUCCGAAAAGGUAACGGAGGCGCUCAAAGGUUAUCUCAGCACGGACGGAAAUCGUGCAAAGAGUGUAAACGCAUAAGAUAGCCUAACUGCGAGACGGACAGGUCGAGCAGUAACGAAAGUUGGAGUUAGUGAUCCGGCGGUAUGAGAGUGGAAUUGCCGUCGCUCAACGGAUAAAAGCUACCCUGGGGAUAACAGGCUUAUCUCCCCCAAGAGUCCACAUCGACGGGGAGGUUUGGCACCUCGAUGUCGGCUCAUCGCAUCCUGG